rnacentral:rRNA from 1 species
AAGGAUCAUUAAAGAGAUAGGGUCCUUCGGGGCCCGACCUCCAACCCUUUGUCUACCAAACCUCUGUUGCCUCGGCGGGUCGUCGGUUACCCUCACGGGUGCCGCCGUCGGCCUUUGCGCUCUCGAGUGCCCGCCGCAGGACUAUUUAAACUCUUUGUUAAACGAGUAUCAUCUGAGUGGAAUUUAAUGCUUCAAUUAAAACUUUUAACAACGGAUCUCUUGGUUCUGGCAUCGAUGAAGAACGCAGCGAAAUGCGAUAAGUAAUGUGAAUUGCAGAAUUCAGUGAAUCAUCGAAUCUUUGAACGCACAUUGCGCUCCCUGGUAUUCCGGGGAGCAUGCCUGUUCGAGCGUCAUUAUCAACCAUCAAGCCCUGCUUGGCAUUGAGUGCCGUCCCUGCUGUGGACGCGCCCUAAAGUAAUCGGCGGUGGUGUUGAACCUCAAGCGUAGUAAAUCUCCAGCUUUCUAGGUGAGACGCCGCUCGGCCUCGAGAACCCAUCACCUCAAGGUUGACCUCGGAUCAGGUAGGGAUACCCGCUGAACUUAA